rnacentral:rRNA from 1 species
GACGAACGCUGGCGGCGUGCCUAAUACAUGCAAGUAGAACGCUGAAGCUUGGUGCUUGCACCGAGCGGAUGAGUUGCGAACGGGUGAGUAACGCGUAGGUAACCUGCCUGGUAGCGGGGGAUAACUAUUGGAAACGAUAGCUAAUACCGCAUAACAGUAGAUAUCGCAUGAUAGCUACUUGAAAGGUGCAAAUGCACCACUACCAGAUGGACCUGCGUUGUAUUAGCUAGUUGGUGAGGUAACGGCUCACCAAGGCAACGAUACAUAGCCGACCUGAGAGGGUGAUCGGCCACACUGGGACUGAGACACGGCCCAGACUCCUACGGGAGGCAGCAGUAGGGAAUCUUCGGCAAUAGACGGAAGUCUGACCGAGCAACGCCGCGUGAGUGAAGAAGGGUUUCGGAUCGUAAAGCUCGGUUGUAAGAGAAGAACGAGUGUGAGAGUGGAAAGUUCACACUGUGACGGUAUCUUACCAGAAAGGGACGGCUAACUACGUG